rnacentral:rRNA from 1 species
AGUGAACGCUGGCGGUAGGCCUAACACAUGCAAGUCGAACGGAAGCACAGUAAGAGCUUGCUCUUACGGGUGGCGAGUGGCGGACGGGUGAGGAAUACAUCGGAAUCUACUUUUUCGUGGGGGAUAACGUAGGGAAACUUACGCUAAUACCGCAUACGACCUACGGGUGAAAGCAGGGGAUCUUCGGACCUUGCGCGAUUGAAUGAGCCGAUGUCGGAUUAGCUAGUUGGCGGGGUAAAGGCCCACCAAGGCGACGAUCCGUAGCUGGUCUGAGAGGAUGAUCAGCCACACUGGAACUGAGACACGGUCCAGACUCCUACGGGAGGCAGCAGUGGGGAAUAUUGGACAAUGGGCGCAAGCCUGAUCCAGCCAUACCGCGUGGGUGAAGAAGGCCUUCGGGUUGUAAAGCCCUUUUGUUGGGAAAGAAAAGCAGCAUGUUAAUACCCCGCUGUUCUGACGGUACCCAAAGAAUAAGCACCGGCUAACUUCGUG